AUGAGAGGAAAAGAUGAAACUGGACCCACAGUGAAGCCCUCAGUGUCUCUGCUGUCACCUGCUGCUCUUCAGAUCUCUGGAGACUCAGCAGCAUUGCUCUGUUUGCUCAACUCUUACUCUCCACAGGGGGCGCUGGUGAGCUGGACACUGGAUGGGUCAGAGGUCACUGACGGGAUUCAGACCAGUGCCGAGAGCGAGCAGGACGGCCGAUACAGCCGUAAAAGUGUCCUGACUCUCAGUAAAGCACUCUGGGAAGAGGCGGAGGUGUUCGUCUGCAGAGUGACACAUGAUGAAACUCUUCACGAGGUCUCCAUGCGUAAGAGUCGCUGUUAA